CUCAUUUUACUUCUCAUCUCCCUCACUCAGCCGUUUCUUUCCCCUCUCUUAUUUAUUCUCCAUUAUUUUUUUCACUUCUCUUCUCACUCCCAGCAACCAAACUGAUGGCCACCACGACCUCCACUCCCCCCGGGGUUUCAACGAGGAGCCAAUAGGCUCCGAUAAAGGGCCUAGACACUACAAACUUUCCCUUUUUGUAAGCCAAACCCUAGAGCUAACCUAACCAUCCAAAACCUCUUCGAACCCGAAACCCUAAGGCUAAGAUCUCUACAAAAAUAACCCCCAUGACCCUGAAAACAACUGGAAACAACCAAGGGAUAAACGAUUUACCUUUGACUAAAUGGGGUUUUGGUUCCUAGCGACAGCGACGAAGCUUUCUGAACUGUAAAGUGCUGCCAUAUCUGCGUGGCCAAGGGAAUCUUUUCUCCCUCCGUCCUGGUUGUUAUUUUUGUUCCUGGUAUAAUCCGAGGCCUUUGAGGCGCUGGCAUGUACGUCGAAGAUUUAGAGGGGCGCAUGUACAUCUUACACGUGAAAACUGAACGGUCAACGUCCUGAGGUGAAGCUGGGCCGUUGGAUCGCUGAUCGGAUCCAAUAGUUGGGACCUUCUGCUAGCAGCGGCUGGUAUCUUUUAGGGUAAAACCCUAAGGUUCACUGCAUCUGGGCUGUCGAAUCUUAGGGGCCAUAUCUAAAGGCUAAAAUUCGCCUGUGCGAGAUGUAGGGUUUGAAACCCUAAUUGUCUACUGAUUGAGUUUGAUCUGAGCCAUCAUAUUGGUAAAAGAUCUAAUGGUUCAGAUCUCUUGGCGGCGUUGAACAUAGGAGCUAGGGUUUCUUUCACUGAUUUGGGCUCAUUUUGAUUGGUCCCUCAACCGAGCACCAUGUAAUUAAUUUUUGUAACUUGGGCCUAUAAAAAUAAACAUUUAGUUAGUAUCUUAUUUAA